rnacentral:rRNA from 1 species
CCUACGGGAGGCUGCAGUGGGGAAUAUUGCACAAUGGGCGGAACCCUGAUGCAGCGACGCCGCGUGCGUGAAGAAGUAUUUCGGUAUGUAAAGCUCUAUUAGCAGGGAAGAAAAUGACGGUACCUGACUAAGAAGCCCCGGCUAACUACGUGCCAGCAGCCGCGGUAAUACGUAGGCGGCAAGCGUUAUCCGGAUUUACUGGGUGUAAAGGGUGCGUAGACGGAAGAGCAAGUCUGAAGUGAAAGUCCGGGGCCCAACUGCUGGACUGCUUUGGAAACUGCCCAGCUAGAGUGCUGGAGCGGUAAGCGGAAUUCCUAGUGUAGCGGUGAAAUGCGUAGAUAUGAGGAGGAACACCAGUGGCGAAGGCAGCUUACUGGACAGUAACUGACGUUGAGGCUCGAAAGCGUGGGGAGCAAACAGGAUUAGAUACCCCAGUAGUC